GAGCGGAGAUAUAUGGAGCUUGCUUUAUAUAACUUAGCAGCGAACGGGUGAGUAACACGUAGAUAAUCUAUCCUAUACUGGGGGAUAGCCCGAUGAAAGUUGGAUUAAUACCGCAUAUAGCUAUAUAGUUGCAUGAUUAUGUAGUGAAAGAUUUAUUGGUAUAGGAGGAGUCUGCGGCACAUUAGCUAGUAGGUGAGGUAAAGGCUUACCUAGGCGACGAUGUGUAGCCGGUCUGAGAGGAUGAACGGCCACAAUGGAACUGAGACACGGUCCAUACUCCUACGGGAGGCAGCAGUGGGGAAUAUUGCACAAUGGGGGAAACCCUGAUGCAGCAACGCCGCGUGAGUGAAGAAGGUUUUCGGAUUGUAAAGCUCUGUUAGCAGGGAAGAGGAAGGACGGUACCUGCAGAGGAAGCCACGGCUAACUACGUGCCAGCAGCCGCGGUAAUACGUAGGUGGCAAGCGUUGUUCGGAAUAACUGGGCGUAAAGGAUGCGUAGGCGGUUAAACAAGUUAUAUGUUAAAUAUAUAGGCUUAACCUGUAGAAAGCAUAUAAAACUGUUUAACUAGAGUGCAGGAGAGGUAAGUGGAAUUCCUAGUGUAGCGGUGAAAUGCGUAGAGAUUAGGAAGAACACCAGUGGCGAAGGCGACUUACUGGACUGUAACUGACGCUGAGGCAUGAGAGCAUGGGGAGCAAACAGGAUUAGAUACCCUGGUAGUCCAUGCUGUAAACGAUGGGUACUAGGUGUGGGUUGUGAAUAACAAUUCGUGCCGUCGCAAACGCAAUAAGUACCCCGC
rnacentral:rRNA from 1 species